GUGCAGCAGGCGCGAAACCUCCGCAAUACACGAAAGUGUGACGGGGUUACCCAAAGUGUCCAAAUUUGGACUGUGGUAGGUGAGUAAUGUCCCCUACUAGAAAGGAGAGGGCAAGGCUGGUGCCAGCCGCCGCGGUAAAACCAGCUCUUCAAGUGGUCGGGGAUAAUUAUUGGGCUUAAAGUGUCCGUAGCCGGUUUAGUAAGUUCCUGGUAAAAUCGGGUAGCUUAACUAUCUGUAUGCUAGGAAUACUGCUAUACUAGAGGGCGGGAGAGGUCUGAGGUACUACAGGGGUAGGGGUGAAAUCCUGUAAUCCUUGUAGGACCACCAGUGGCGAAGGCGUCAGACUGGAACGCGCCUGACGGUGAGGGACGAAAGCCAGGGGAGCGAACCGGAUUAGAUACCC
rnacentral:rRNA from 1 species